rnacentral:rRNA from 1 species
AUUGAACGCUGGCGGCAGGCCUAACACAUGCCAGUCGAGCGGAUGAAGGGAGCUUGCUCCUGGAUUCAGCGGCGGACGGGUGAGUAAUGCCUAGGAAUCUGCCUGGUAGUGGGGGAUAACGUCCGGAAACGGGCGCUAAUACCGCAUACGUCCUGAGGGAGAAAGUGGGGGAUCUUCGGACCUCACGCUAUCAGAUGAGCCUAGGUCGGAUUAGCUAGUUGGUGGGGUAAAGGCCUACCAAGGCGACGAUCCGUAACUGGUCUGAGAGGAUGAUCAGUCACACUGGAACUGGGGCACGGUCCCGACUCCUACGGGAGGCAGCAGUGGGGAAUAUUGGACAAUGGGCGAAAGCCUGAUCCAGCCAUGCCGCGUGUGUGAAGAAGGUCUUCGGAUUGUAAAGCACUUUAAGUUGGGAGGAAGGGCAGUAAGUUAAUACCUUGCUGUUUUGACGUUACCAACAGAAUAAGCACCGGCUAACUUCGUG